AUUAACACUUACUUAUACAGUGGGUGUGUCCAGGGGGUGGUGGGAGUAUUACUGGUGAGGAGGUCCUCAGUUCAGCGUGACACUGACCAGCUCUCUGCACAGAUAUAUCUCCUCCACACCUGAUCUCUUCCAACUCUGUAGCUCCAUUCACCAUUAUGACCGUGCUGUGGAUCCAUACUGCAUUUCUGCUGGUUUUACUGGUCAUGCCGCAGCCAAGCUCUUCGCACUCUGUGUCGCGGCUGUGUGGCACUGACCUGAUCGACGUCGUCAGCUUUGUUUGUGAAGACAGAGGUUUCAGUAUGUCAGCGCUGACCCAUCCCUCCAGGAAAAACAGGGAGAGGCAAGCAGCAAGACUUGUCGACUGCUGCCUAUCUUACUGCAGCUUAAGUUACCUGGAGCAAUUCUGCGUCCCAGAAAGACACAAUGAAAAUAGCAAUUAGUGUUGACUUUGUUUACCUAGCUUUUUUGUGCAUAGUUUAGCUUCUUGACAACCCAUUAGCUCACCAGCAGUGCUGCCAUCUCACUGUAAAGUCAACUGUCAAAUCAACUGUUCAUAAUUUGACAAAAUUAUGUUUCAUUUAAAAUAGGGUUUUGUACUUGAGAAAGUGAGUUGUUCUUUGAAAGUUAUUUUUGUAAAAUAAUUAUUAGUAUUGCCAAUGUCACACUCACUACAAGUCACAUAAUAAUAAAUAACUGUGCUACCUGUUUUGUAGUCUCUUUCCCAGUAACAUUGAUAUUUCUUUUAUAUCCAAUCAUGAUACCCUAACCUGUUACCAAUUAACCUGAUAAUACCAUCCAGAACAGUGCAUUUUACUUGAAUAUAU
ensembl:lncRNA